UACGAAGGGGGCUAGCGUUGUUCGGAUUUACUGGGCGUAAAGCGCGCGUAGGCGGGCAUUUAAGUCAGGGGUGAAAUCCCAGGGCUCAACCCUGGAACGGCCUUUGAUACUGGAUGCCUGGAGAUCGGGAGAGGUUGGUGGAAUUCCGAGUGUAGAGGUGAAAUUCGUAGAUAUUCGCAAGAACACCAGUGGCGAAGGCGGCUGACUGGUCCGGUUCUGACGCUGAGGCGCGAAAGCGUGGGGAGCAAACAGG
rnacentral:rRNA from 1 species